ACGAACGCUGGCGGCGUGCUUAACACAUGCAAGUCGAACGGAAAGGCCCUUCGGGGUACUCGAGUGGCGAACGGGUGAGUAACACGUGGGUGAUCUGCCUCGUACUUUGGGAUAAGCCUGGGAAACUGGGUCUAAUACCGAAUAUGACCUUGAGAUGCAUGUCUCUUGGUGGAAACUUUUUGGGUACGAGAUGGGCCCGCGGCCUAUCAGCUUGUUGGUGGGGUAAUGGCCUACCAAGGCGACGACGGGUAGCCGGCCUGAGAGGGCGACCGGCCACACUGGGACUGAGACACGGCCCAGACUCCUACGGGAGGCAGCAGUGGGGAAUAUUGCACAAUGGGCGCAAGCCUGAUGCAGCGACGCCGCGUGAGGGAUGACGGCCUUCGGGUUGUAAACCUCUUUCACCAGGGACGAAGAGAAAUUGACGGUACCUGGAGAAGAAGCACCGGCCAACUACGU
rnacentral:rRNA from 1 species